AGAGUUUGAUCAUGGCUCAGAAUCAACGCUGGCGGCGCGCUUAACACAUGCAAGUCGAACGAGAAAGUGGAGCAAUCCAUGAGUAAAGUGGCGUACGGGUGAGUAACACGUGGGUAAUCUACCUCUUGGUGGGGAAUAACCCUGGGAAACCGGGGCUAAUACCGCAUAAGCUCGGAAGAGGAAGCCCGAAAGGGGCCGAGAGAGGAGCCCGCGGUCGAUUAGCUAGUUGGUGAGGUAAGAGCUCACCAAGGCGAUGAUCGAUAGCCGGCCUGAGAGGGCACACGGCCACACUGGCACUGAAACACGGGCCAGACUCCUACGGGAGGCAGCAGUGGGGAAUCUUGCACAAUGGGGGCAACCCUGAUGCAGCGACGCCGCGUGAGCGAUGAAGCCCUUCGGGGUGUAAAGCUCUUUCGGCCGGAACGAUAAUGACGGUACCGGCAGAAGAAGCUGCGGCUAACUACGUGCCAGCAGCCGCGGUAAUACGUAGGCAGCGAGCGUUGUUCGGAGUUACUGGGCGUAAAGAGUGCGUAGGCGGUGCUCUAAGUUUGGUGUGAAAUCUCCCGGCUCAACUGGGAGGGUGCGCCGAAAACUGGAGUGCUCGAGUAUGGGAGAGGUAAGCGGAAUUCCUGGUGUAGCGGUGAAAUGCGUAGAUAUCAGGAGGAACACCUGCGGUGUAGACGGCUUACUGGACCAUGACUGACGCUGAGGCACGAAAGCGUGGGGAGCAAACAGGAUUAGAUACCCUAGUAGUCC
rnacentral:rRNA from 1 species